rnacentral:rRNA from 1 species
UACGUAGGGGGCAAGCGUUGUCCGGAAUUAUUGGGCGUAAAGAGCUCGUAGGCGGUUUGUCGCGUCGACUGUGAAAACCUACAGCUUAACUGUGGGCUUGCAGUCGAUACGGGCAGACUUGAGUUCGGUAGGGGAGACUGGAAUUCCUGGUGUAGCGGUGAAAUGCGCAGAUAUCAGGAGGAACACUGGUGGCGAAGGCGGGUCUCUGGGCCGAUACUGACGCUGAGGAGCGAAAGCGUGGGGAGCGAACAGG